rnacentral:rRNA from 1 species
AGACUGCGUUUGAAACUGUAUAUCUUGAGAGCAGCAGAGGAAGGCGGAAUUCCUGGUGUAGUGGUGAAAUACGUAGAUAUCAGGAAGAACACCAGUGGCGAAGGCGGUCUUCUGGGCUGCAUCUGACGCUCAUGUACGAAAGCUGGGGUAGCGAACGGGAUUAGAUACCCCGGUAGUCCCAGCUGUAAACGAUGGACACUAGGUGUUGGAGGUUCGAAUCCUUCAGUGCCGGAGUUAACGCAUUAAGUGUCCCGCCUGGGGAAUACGGUCGCAAGACUGAAACUCAAAGGAAUUGACGGGGGCCCGCACAAGCGGUGGAGCAUGUGGUUUAAUUCGAUGCAACGCGAAGAACCUUACCGAGAAUUGACAUCCCGUGACUACCUGUGAGAGCAGG